GGGACAACAGUUGGAAACGACUGCUAAUACCGCAUGACGCAUAGAGGUCGCAUGAUCUUUAUGCCAAAGAUUUAUCGCUUCAAGAUGGCCUCGCGUCUGAUUAGCUAGUUGGCGGGGUAACGGCCCACCAAGGCGACGAUCAGUAGCCGGACUGAGAGGUUGAACGGCCACAUUGGGACUGAGAUACGGCCCAGACUCCUACGGGAGGCAGCAGUGGGGAAUAUUGGGCAAUGGGCGCAAGCCUGACCCAGCAACGCCGCGUGAAGGAAGAAGGCUUUCGGGUUGUAAACUUCUUUUAAGAGGGAAGAGCAGAAGACGGUACCUCUAGAAUAAGCCACGGCUAACUACGUGCCAGCAGCCGCGGUAAUACGUAGGUGGCAAGCGUUGUCCGGAUUUACUGGGUGUAAAGGGCGUGCAGCCGGGUCUGCAAGUCAGAUGUGAAAUCCAUGGGCUCAACCCAUGAACUGCAUUUGAAACUGUAGAUCUUGAGUGUCGGAGGGGCAAUCGGAAUUCCUAGCGUAGCGGUGAAAUGCGUAGAUAUUAGGAGGAACACCAGUGGCGAAGGCGGAUUGCUGGACGAUAACUGACGGUGAGGCGCGAAAGUGUGGGGAGCAAACAGGAUUAGAUACCCUGGUAGUCCACACUGUAA
rnacentral:rRNA from 1 species